UCGUACUUCACAGGUCUGGCACAGUACUGCUGCAGCAGACUCAGGCUACAGCUCUGAAAGCAGCAUUGUUCAACAAUUCCAGUGCGAGAACGGCGGCCGUGUGUUCUGUUUGGCCUGCCUGGGUGAGGAAAGAGAAGGUAUUGUUGAAGGAGAAACAUCCCCCUGAGAGACAGGCCAUCAGACAUGAGGUUGCAUACACUUAGAAGUGAAUACUGAGAGGGGAAUUCAAAUUAAAGCUGAUCCAGUGACUGCCUAGGCCAGGUCUUCAACAGGCUGACUUACAUACCACCUAUCGAGGAAAAAGUGAUCUAAUGAUGCUACAGCCUGUUUCCUGAUACACCAUAUCUCAGACCUUGUUGCACCUGUGACUUAAAGGGAGCAGUGAAAAGAAGCCUCAAUUUGCCAGGUGUUGGAUUGCGGUGGCAAGAAAAAAAAUGGUGAAGUGCUUAUACAGGUCUGUUGGAACUUGGACUGGAGGAAGUAGCAGUUUCCCCAGAAUAGCCUAUACUUUUGAUUACCUCAUAGUUACAUUAUAACACCAUCACCAAUGAUUGGUUUUUAUAUAUAAACUCAGCAAAAAAAGAAACGUCCCUUUUUCAGGAUAUUGUAUUUUAAAGAUAAUCUUGUAAAAUUCAAAUAACUUUACAGAUCUUUAUUGGAAAGGGUUUAAACAAUGUUUUCCAUGCUUGUUCAAUGAAUCAUAAACAAUCAAUGCACAUGCACCUGUGGAA